GACGAAGGGGGCUAGCGUUGUUCGGAAUUACUGGGCGUAAAGCGCACGUAGGCGGCUUUGCAAGUUAGAGGUGAAAGCCCAGGGCUCAACCCUGGAAUUGCCUUUAAAACUGCAUCGCUAGAAUUGUGGAGAGGUAAGUGGAAUUCCGAGUGUAGAGGUGAAAUUCGUAGAUAUUCGGAAGAACACCAGUGGCGAAGGCGACUUACUGGACACAUAUUGACGCUGAGGUGCGAAAGCGUGGGGAGCAAACAGG
rnacentral:rRNA from 1 species